rnacentral:lncRNA from 1 species
UCAUUAUAGUUAUCAUUUAUCAGCCAUUAGUCAAUUGCACGUUUGAAAUACCAACGUGUUAUAUCGCCACUUGACAAUCCUGUUCUUGCAACGAGCGACGUCGCCGUGCAAUUUUCUGUCGGCGACAGAAUAAAGAAUAAGAGAGAAAUAGAGAAAUAGAAAAUUCUCAAGCAGUAGUGUAUUCGUAGCACGAUAACGAAAAACUCGGUUAGUCGUUUAUAAUAGACUCGUUAUUGGAAAUAUCCCAUUGGCGUCGAGAGAUACGAUGUGAUGUUCUUCCCUUUGUAUAUUAAAGUGCUUUUGGUUAAACCAUCGAAUAUACAACAACAACAACAAAAUAAAAGAGAGGUCAUUAUGAAGUGAAACUUUAUUAAGCAACGGUAACAAAAUUAAACCAAAUUAUGAAACGACAUAAAAAAAAGAGAGAGAGAGAGAGAGAGAGAGAGGGAGUUCGAUAAAACCCAGAAUAAUUCAGUUAAACGAAAUUAUGUAAGGUUCUAGUGUUAAUUGUGUUGAUGAUGGUAUGUGUGUGUGAGUGAUACGUUUGCUUAUGGAAGAAUGAGUAGAAAUGUAAAAUACCUUAAAUGAUUGUUAAUUAAUCGAUCGAAAUGUGUAUUGUUGUAAAAAAGCACCGUAUAUAUGUCCCGUGUACCGUCUUUCUUGAAAUUCACCGUUGAAGUGAGUCAUUGUCCUCAGUUAAGGUUGUUUUGUUAAAUGUUGUUUAUAUGACUUUCAUAACGUUGUGCCUGUGUAUAAACGGGAAUAAUUCAACUAAUCAAUAAAAUUUAAAAUUAUAACGUC